AAUUUAUGUGAAAAAGAUAAAAGUAUAGAAACACUUUUUUGUUGUUGCUGUUUUUUUUUUUUGGUUUUGUUUUGUUUUGUUUUUCUGAGAUAGGGUUUCUCUGUGUAGCCCUGGCUGUCCUGGAACAAACUCUGUAGACCAGGCUGUCCUAGAACUCAGAAAUCCUCCUGCCUCUGCCUUCCAAGUGCUGGGAUUAAAGUGGUGUGCCACCACUGCCCAGCAGAAAAACUCUUUGAUUCCAAAUGGCAUUUUAUACACAUGUAUGUGAUUGAAGGUAUUGUUGGAUGUUAAUAAGGGACUGCUAGGCACAGAUAGAACUCCACAACACACAAUCUAAUGACAAAGUUCAUUGUUUCUCGGGCCUCAGAUAGCAGUUUCUCCUUACCUAGCAAUGAUCCUUCAGCGAUGCUGCCCAUUUUGUUCAGUAUCAGAAUGCUAUGAGCAGGCAUUAUCUGUAUUUUCCCAUCCUAUUUCCGGUGGAUGGAAGCCCUCUGCUGGUUAUUGAUCCCAUAGCAAGACCAUGCUCUUUUUCAACUGAGUGGGGAAAGCUACAUACUAUGGUAACAUAUAGGUUUUCAAUGCCUACUUCUCAUUGUAUCAUUGUGUUACAAAAAACAGUCAAAAUUCCCCUAUGGGCCUAAGUCAAGGAAUUCACCACAAUUAUUGUUGGGCAUUUCUGAACCAAAUCCUUGAGAUUGUGUUCAGAGUCUUAUGACCAACAAAAAGUCACAGAUAGAACACUUGAUAUUCCAAACAGUAGGUGAGAGUACUGCCCAGGUACAGUAUUACCAUUGUAACUGAUAAGUAGUUGCCAAUUCUUGUCUUUUUGGAAAAUGCAUAGAAUGGCACCCCUCCUCCCCCACAUCACAGUGGAAUCUAUACACUAGAUAAUAUGUAUGCAGUGCUAGGGGGUCAGAGAUACAAGUUGACAUUAUUAUCUGACAACUUCGUCACCAUGUUCGUCAUCCUCAGGGCCGUCAUUUCUGAUAUCUCUCAAAAUAUAUACAAGGUUUUACUUAGCCCAGCUUGCUCCAGUUUGGAGAGAGAAUGGAGCGCCAUCCUGUGCAUGUUUGUGUCUGAGGUAGGAGUGAAUUUGGGAAAUAUUAUGUUUAGUAACUGUAUUCGUUUUUGUCUCCACAAACACUGUACAAAGACUUCUUUUCAAAAACCCAAAGGAAAAGAAUAACAAAAGCUGCAUUCCUCAGCCACUCCUUCCACUCUCUAAGUGUUUCCCACCCAUUGGAAAAUUGAGAACUUUUCUAAGCAUACUGGGAAAUGCAAAGAUUGUGUGAGGCAAAAGACUUAAGGUUCCUCUGGAGCUAAUUUCCCAAGUCAGACUGUUUAAACGUUACCCUGAGUUACUUAGCUCUCAAUAGAGGGACAGUUUCUUCACGGUUCCCUGUCCUUCUAGCUCAAGAAUUGCUUUAAUAUCAAUAAGAAUACAUAAUCAAUACUGACAUUGAGAAAUGUUAACAUUUGCCAAUUAAACACUGUAUUUAUGCGACUUAAUCCCCACCUCAAGGAGGCAGAGGCAGGUAGGUCUCUGUGAGUUCAACAUUAACCUUGUCUACAUAGUGACUUCCAGGCCAGCCAGAGCUACAGAGUAAGGUCUCAGAGGAAACAAAAGCAAAACAACAGUGUAGCGAUGCAAAGAGGUCUACACUGUUAGGAGAGUGGGCUGAGAAGUAAAAGAUGCAGGGGCAUUUCUGAGAAGUCCGAGAGCGGUGGUACUUUGGGCUGUCUUGCUUCCAGCUUUCAGAACCACUCAUUUUUAAGCCUUUGAAAGAACACUAUCUCCACUCAUCAGGUUGAGGCCAGAAAAUCUACAUCUUUUUUUUCUCCUUAAUAGUUUGUAUGAAGACCUUCAUUGUUCUCUUGGCUACCAUAUUUCCAGACAUCUCUCCCAACUCUCCAUCCCUCAAGUACCCUACACCAGACAUUUCUGAUGCCCAAGCAUCCAGUGCCCUUUUAGUCUGUCUUUAUUUCUGUAGUUUGGGUUAGAACAUGGGCAGCUCAAGGGAAGGGUUUCCAGUCCACUGCAUUGUCGUGGGUGAGAAAGCAUGGCUGUUUAAGGCAUCUACCUUCUCAUGAGCCCAUCUCUGUUAUUUGCAUAUUUCACCCUGACUUAUCAUGUGGAAACUGUCAUUUCUGUGUCAUCCUGGGCUUGUGGCUUUAUUCAUUUAGUCCCUGGUCUGGGCAGGUCUGCUUAAGCUCUGAGUAUUCAUGCAAGCAUAAAGUACCUUUCCUGGGCCUUAGAAACACUAUCCUAGAGCUUUGGGGGACAUAAAAAGCCAAAAUGUGUCCUUUUUACUGAGUGACAGGAAGCAUUAAGUCAUGUUUUAAAAAAGAAAAGAACGUUUAUACAUGAAUGAAUCCAUGAGCAAACGAAAUCAGGCAGGGAGGACAGAUUGGAACAGGAUGAAGGCCCCCUCGACAGAGUUACUUACCUGGAAGAGCAGAAAUGGUUUGGGAGAAUGAUAAAGGAAGUUGGGGAGCCCAAGAAAGAAGUGUGGG
rnacentral:lncRNA from 1 species